rnacentral:rRNA from 1 species
AUAUCAAUAAGGGGAGGAAAAGAAACUAACAAGGAUUCCCCUAGUAACUGCGAGUGAAGCGGGAAAAGCUCAAAUUUAAAAUCUGGCGGUCUUUGGCCGUCCGAGUUGUAAUUUAGAGAAGCGUUUUCCGCGCUGGACCGUGCACAAGUCUCCUGGAAUGGAGCGUCAUAGGGAGGA